AGCCCAUCUUCGCCGUCACGCGGCCCGCGGUGCCCGUGUACCAGGAGCUGAGCCGCCUCAUCCCCAAGUCGGUGGUGGCGGAGCUGCGGGAGGACUCGAGCA